CCUACGGGUGGCAGCAGUGAGGAAUAUUGGUCAAUGGACGAGAGUCUGAACCAGCCAAGUAGCGUGAAGGAUGACUGCCCUAUGGGUUGUAAACUUCUUUUAUACGGGAAUAAACUGUUCCACGUGUGGCUUUUUGCAUGUACCAUAUGAAUAAGGAUCGGCUAACUCCGUGCCAGCAGCCGCGGUAAUACGGAGGAUCCGAGCGUUAUCCGGAUUUAUUGGGUUUAAAGGGAGCGUAGGUGGGUUGUUAAGUGAGUUGUGAAAUUGUGCGGCUCAACCGUAAAAGUGCAGUUGAAACUGGCAGGCUUGAGGACAGUAGAGGUAGGCGGAAUUCGUGGUGUAGCGGUGAAAUGCUUAGAUAUCACGAAGAACUCCGAUUGCGAAGGCAGCUCACUGUAGUGUAACUGACACUGAGGCUCGAAAGUGUGGGUAUCAAACAGGAUUAGAUACCCUUGUAGUC
rnacentral:rRNA from 1 species